rnacentral:rRNA from 1 species
UUGGUGGCGACCGGCGCACGGGUGAGUAACGCGUAUGCAACCCAUCUAUCAGAGGGGAAUAACCCGGCGAAAGUCGGACUAAUACCGCAUAAAACAGGGGCACCGCAUGGUGAUAUUUGUUAAAGAAAUUCGCUGAUAGAUGGGCAUGCGUUCCAUUAGGUAGUUGGUGAGGUAACGGCUCACCAAGCCGACGAUGGAUAGGGGAACUGAGAGGUUGGUCCCCCACACUGGUACUGAGACACGGACCAGACUCCUACGGGAGGCAGCAGUGAGGAAUAUUGGUCAAUGGGCGAGAGCCUGAACCAGCCAAGUCGCGUGAAGGAAGAAGGAUCUAUGGUUCGUAAACUUCUUUUGCAGGGGAAUAAAGUGCAGGACGUGUCCUGUUUUGUAUGUACCCUGAGAAUAAGGAUCGGCUAACUCCGUGCCAGCAGCCGCGGUAAUACGGAGGAUCCGAGCGUUAUCCGGAUUUAUUGGGUUUAAAGGGUGCGUAGGUGGUUUGAUAAGUCAGCGGUGAAAGUUUGCAGCUUAACUGUAAAAAUGCCGUUGAAACUGUCGGACUUGAGUGUAAAUGAGGUAGGCGGAAUGCGUGGUGUAGCGGUGAAAUGCUUAGAUAUCACGAAGAACUCCGAUUG